AGGACGAACGCUGGCGGCGCGCCUAAAACAUGCAAGUCGAACGAGAAGCCCGGGCUUGCCCGGGUGGACAGUGGCGAACGGGUGAGUAACACGUGAGGAACCUGCCCCGAAGACCGGGACAACACCGGGAAACCGGUGCUAAUACCGGAUACCUUCACCGGAUCGCAUGGUCUGGUGAAGAAAUGGAUUCCGCUUCGGGAUGGCCUCGCGGCCUAUCAGCUUGUUGGUGAGGUAACGGCUCACCAAGGCAACGACGGGUAGCUGGUCUGAGAGGAUGUCCAGCCACACUGGGACUGAGACACGGCCCAGACUCCUACGGGAGGCAGCAGUGGGGAAUCUUGCGCAAUGCGCGAAAGCGUGACGCAGCAACGCCGCGUGGGGGAAGAAGGCUUUCGGGUUGUAAACCCCUUUCAGUUGGGACGAAGCUUCUUCGGUGAAUAGCCGAACGGAGUGACGGUACCUUCACAAGAAGCACCGGCUAACUACGCGCCAGCAGCCGCGGU
rnacentral:rRNA from 1 species